GGAAUUAAAAACCCUAAUCAUUCUAAUUCCUUCAUACGUUUCACCACCGCUACUUUGCAAAACCCUAGAAAACUCUUCAGAUCUUGAAUCCCAAUCGUAAUCUACUCUUCUUCGAUCGUCGCCACCCACAAGUUGCCUCUAAAGAUUGUAUUCAUGGGAGAUAUAUUAUAGUUAUCGGUUUCAUGAGUGUUGUUUCAAACCCUAGCUUUCCUACCAUUCCUGACUAUGUUCCGCCAAUCGCUGCUCAAUCCGAUCCAGGUUAACUAGACACAUUUGUUUGUGUUUUUUUAAACCAUUUAUUAUCCUUCUCUAAAAUGUCACUUUUAGCACUGAUGGCGUAAAGCUCUCUGUCAUCAGAGCCAUUGAUUGGUUUUGCGAGCCCCCAGAGGAAGGGUUGAUGUGUGAGAUAUUAUGGAGUGGUCCUCAACCUAAUCCUGGUAGAGGACCAAGCAAGCGUGGUGUAGGGCUCCCUUUUGGUGGAGACGUAACAAAACGGCUUCUGAAGGAUAAUAAUCUAGAUUUAGUUGUGCGAUCUCAUGAGGUCAAAGACGAAGGUUAUGAAAUCGAACAUGAUGGUAAACUCAUGACUGUAUUCUCUGCUCCAAACUACUGUGACCAGUAAAAAUGCAAGCUCACAAGGAGGCUCCUCCUGACAUGCAAUGUAGGGACAAGUUUCUCCUUUAAAGUAUAAUUGCAAAGGCGGGAGCAACUCCAAAAGACAUCACCCCCGAGAUGGGUUCAAAAAUGCAUGUAGAUUCUCUUGACAAAUCCUCAGAGUUGAGUCAAUGCGUGAGAUCUCUCAUUUCAAAGUUGAGUGAGGAAAGAAACAGAAUUUGACAAGAACUGGACCUCUUGAGGCCCAGAAGCCACAAAAGCCAAGGAGGUGUUGCACCUUUGAUGUCUAUCAUCAUCGUUGGCUUGAUUAGUUGGAUUCUUGGGUACAUCAUGAAGAAAUAAUGUAUCGUUCAUCAUCAGCUUGGUUGGUGAAAUCAAGAGUAAUGGGAGAUUUAAGCUACACAAGCACAAUUGAUUGUUUUAUUAAGACUUUAAAAAAUGACUUAAGUUGUUAUCUCCGGUUUGUAUGAAGAAGUAAAUGGAAAUUUUGGUGUAAAUCAAAUUAGACUUAUCAACUCAACUGAAAAUAAAUGUUAAUUGUGGCACUAGGGACCUUUAUCAUUCUAC